rnacentral:rRNA from 1 species
GAUGAACGCUGACAGAAUGCUUAACACAUGCAAGUCUACUUGAACUUCGGUUUGGGUGGCGGACGGGUGAGUCACGCGUAAAGAACUUACCUCACAGUUAGGGACAACAUUUGGAAACGAAUGCUAAUACCUGAUAUUAUGAUUUUAGGGCAUCCUAAGAUUAUGAAAGCUAUAUGCGCUGUGAGAGAGCUUUGCGUCCCAUUAGCUAGUUGGAGAGGUAACGGCUCACCAAGGCGAUGAUGGGUAGCCGGCCUGAGAGGGUGAACGGCCACAAGGGGACUGAGACACGGCCCUUACUCCUACGGGAGGCAGCAGUGGGGAAUAUUGGACAAUGGACCAAAAGUCUGAUCCAGCAAUUCUGUGUGCACGAUGACGUUUUUCGGAAUGUAAAGUGCUUUCAGUUGGGAAGAAAAAAAUGACGGUACCAACAGAAGAAGUGACGGCUAAAUACGUG